UGAAAGCAGGACACAUCACACCAAGUUCACAUGGCGGCGG
rnacentral:sRNA from 1 species